rnacentral:rRNA from 1 species
UACAGAGGUCUCGAGCGUUGUUCGGAUUUACUGGGCGUAAAGGGAGCGUAGGCGGUUUGGUGUGUCGAAUGUGAAAGCCCGGGGCUCAACCGGGGAGGGUCGCGCGAAACGGGCCGACUGGAGGCAAGGCGAGGGCGGUGGAAUUCCCGGUGUAGUGGUGAAAUGCGUAGAGAUCGGGAGGAACACCAGAGGCGAAGGCGGCCGCCUGGACUUGACCUGACGCUGAGGCGCGAAGGCGUGGGGAGCGAACGGGAUUAGAUACCCCGGUAGUCCCUGAGCGGGCUGGCAAGG